UUUUCCGUGAGGAAUGCACUGAAGGAAGCCAGACUGCAAAAUCCGGUACUGACGAACAGAAACGGCAUAUGAGGCUACGAAAUGAGGAUAAGCAAGCACAUCAUUGUAACGUCCGAAGAAUACAAACAUCAUUUCAUAGUAGAUGCCGCAGGCAUUGGAGGAAGGGAAAAGCU
rfam:Bacteroidetes bacterium GWF2_42_66 gwf2_scaffold_54, whole genome shotgun sequence.